GCAAAUAUGUCUCCUUUAUAUAUAUGUAUAUUAGAUUUCCUGACUUCCAUCUUGAUUCCUUCGUGGACUUCGGAACUUAGGUGCGAACGAAUUGAACUCCUGUGCAAGAAUUCAGGUUUGGGAAGCAAGUUGACUUUGGUUGACCUUGUGGAUUUGAAGAUUAUUCUUAUAGUAUUAACCAUCCUUCAACAAUGAAUUUGGACACACUUCUGGUACAAAGAGUUUUUCUCAAAAAGUUGAAGACAUGUUCAAACGUGAUGAAGUAAUGCCGACCAUGCUGAAAUUGUACGAGGAAGCUCAUUCAAAAAAUGAUAAGACACCAGUUACUGAAGUGGCAAAAGAAACUAUGUCGUUUGCGGCUAUGGAUGAGGAUGUGGAGCAUGGUGAAAUGCAAACAAAUGAGUAGUUGAUGUUGUAUUAUGUUAACUGGUUAUCUUUGUUGUAGCUGUUGAUUUGUUGGUUACAUUAGAAAUAUCCGAAUAUACCAAUCACACAUCUAGAAGACAGGUUAUUUUUGUGGUUUUUGUUAGUUUUGGGCUUGUGGGUUGUUGUAAGCCCUAGGGUGUUUUUUUUGGUUGAGAUUGAACUACAAGUGGUUCUCUUUUGGUUAAUAAUAUUAUUUGUAGUUGAUAAAUCUUCGAUUCCUAUGAAAUUUGAUGGUUUACUUUUGCUAUUUUAUCA